GGGCUUUUCCUGGGGCGCGGAACGCCCUAUAUAGGUCCUGUCGGGGUAACACCCGAAUAUGGCGAUAAACGCGUCGCGGAAUAAGCGUUGCGGACCCGGGGGCGGUACCCGGCGCCUCCACCAAAUCAGACCCGGUUGGGUCGUUCUGGGGGCGAAACAGGCUCGACGCGCGUGGUAAAGGUGAUGUUUUCGCUCGGCAUGGUACCGCCGUUAUCGGGCUAAAAUGAUAGGUGCCAACGACAAUGUUGCACCCGCGAUGAAGGUUGCCGCCUGAUCACCUAACGGUGCCAGGGUAGCAAUUGUCUGAGCGCGGUAAGGGGGGCGCCGGGCAACAGAAAGCCCCCCACU
rnacentral:tmRNA from 1 species